rnacentral:siRNA from 1 species
AUGCACUUUUACCCAAAUCCAUCA